rnacentral:rRNA from 1 species
AUGGCGACCGGCGUACGGGUGAGUAACGCGUAUCCAACCUGCCCUUUACUAUGGGACAGCCCGUCGAAAGGCGGAUUAAUACCGUAUGUUGUCAUGUUGAUGCAUAUUUUCAUGACCAAAGGCUUCGGCCGGUAAAGGAUGGGGAUGCGUCUGAUUAGCUUGCCGGCGGGGUAAAGGCCCACCGGGGCGACGAUCAGUAGGGGUUCUGAGAGGAAGGUCCCCCACAUUGGAACUGAGACACGGCCCAGACUCCUACGGAAGGCAGCAG